GGUUUUGUAGCUCAAUUUGGUUAGAGCACUCCGUUGUCAGCGGAAAGCUUGCGAGUUCAAGUCUCGUCGAAACCGCCA
rnacentral:tRNA from 1 species